rnacentral:rRNA from 1 species
UACGUAGGCAGCGAGCGUUGUUCGGAAUUACUGGGCGUAAAGAGUGUGUAGGCGGUGUUCCCAGUCUGUUGUGAAAUCUCCCGGCUUAACUGGGAGGGUGCAGCGGAAACUAGAAUGCUAGAGGGUGGGAGAGGUAAGCGGAAUUCCUGGUGUAGCGGUGAAAUGCGUAGAUAUCAGGAGGAACACCUGUGGUGUAGACGGCUUUCUGGACCGUAACUGACGCUGAGACACGAAAGCGUGGGUAGCAAACAGG